GACAUGAGGGAUUUUGAAGAGGCGACCGGACUCAAGAAUAUAUAUUGACACGGUGAGUGAAGUAUCGUGCUAUUGAUUUUUUCCAACUGUUUUACAAUGAUUCUGUGUUUGAACAGAUUAUCAGUGCGACGAAUGAGAAUGCAGCCUACAAGUGAACGAGCGAUCACAACAACAACAAAGAUCAAUCUGUGAUAUCUUCUCUGUGAUGUCAUUCUUAUAGUAGCUGUGGUUCAAUGUUCAGAUGUGCAUGAAGAGAAUU